CUUGACGACCAUAGAACAUUGGAACCACCUGAUCCCAUCCCGAACUCAGCAGUGAAACGAUGUAUCGCCGAUGGU
rnacentral:rRNA from 1 species